rnacentral:rRNA from 1 species
UACGAAGGGGGCUAGCGUUGCUCGGAAUCACUGGGCGUAAAGCGCACGUAGGCGGCUUGCUAAGUCAGGGGUGAAAUCCUGGAGCUCAACUCCAGAACUGCCUUUGAUACUGAAGAUCUUGAGUUCGGGAGAGGUGAGUGGAACUGCGAGUGUAGAGGUGAAAUUCGUAGAUAUUCGCAAGAACACCAGUGGCGAAGGCGGCUCACUGGCCCGGUACUGACGCUGAGGCACGAAAGCGUGGGGAGCAAACAGG